CUACGGGAGGCAGCAGUGGGGAAUAUUGCACAAUGGGCGCAAGCCUGAUGCAGCAACGCCGCGUGAGUGAUGAAGGUCUUCGGAUUGUAAAGCUCUGUCUUUUGGGACGAUAAUGACGGUACCAAAGGAGGAAGCCACGGCUAACUACGUGCCAGCAGCCGCGGUAAUACGUAGGUGGCAAGCGUUGUCCGGAUUUACUGGGCGUAAAGGGUGCGUAGGUGGAUAUUUAAGUCAGAUGUGAAACCCCUGGGCUCAACUCAGGGACUGCAUUUGAAACUGGAUAUCUGGAGUGCAGGAGAGGUAAGUGGAAUUCCUAGUGUAGCGGUGAAAUGCGUAGAGAUUAGGAAGAACACCAGUGGCGAAGGCGACUUACUGGACUGUAACUGACACUGAGGCACGAAAGCGUGGGUAGCAAACAGGAUUAGAUACCCGGGUAGUCC
rnacentral:rRNA from 1 species